rnacentral:rRNA from 1 species
CAGUCGCCGCGGUAAUACGUAGGUGGCAAGCGUUGUUCGGAAUUAUUGGGCGUAAAGGGCUCGCAGGCGGUUUCUUAAGUCUGAUGUGAAAGCCCCCGGCUCAACCGGGGAGGGUCAUUGGAAACUGGGAAACUUGAGUGCAGAAGAGGAGAGUGGAAUUCCACGUGUAGCGGUGAAAUGCGUAGAGAUGUGGAGGAACACCAGUGGCGAAGGCGACUCUCUGGUCUGUAACUGACGCUGAGGAGCGAAAGCGUGGGGAGCAAACAGGAUUAGAUACCCGAGUAGUCCCUGUCUCUUAUAC